CCUACGGGAGGCAGCAGUGGGGAAUAUUGCACAAUGGGGGCAACCCUGAUGCAGCGACGCCGCGUGAGUGAGGAAGUACUUCGGUAUGUAAAGCUCUAUCAGCAGGGAAGAAAAUGACGGUACCUGACUAAGAAGCCCCGGCUAACUACGUGCCAGCAGCCGCGGUAAUACGUAGGGGGCAAGCGUUAUCCGGAUUUACUGGGUGUAAAGGGAGCGUAGACGGAUUAGCAAGUCUGUUGUGAAAGGCCGGGGCUCAACCCCGGGAGUGCAUUGGAAACUGGCAAGCUGGAGUGCCGGAGAGGCAAGCGGAAUUCGUGGUGUAGCGGUGAAAUGCGUAGAUAUUAGGAGGAACACCGGUGGCGAAGGCGGCUUGCUGGACGGUCACUGACGUUGAGGCUCGAAAGCGUGGGGAGCAAACAGGAUUAGAUACCCGGGUAGUC
rnacentral:rRNA from 1 species